ensembl:lncRNA
AUGCUUCUGGAGAAUUGGUCCGGGUCUGCUUUCCUCCUAAAAAGGACAAACUUUUGUAUUGCUUGCCUCUUUGUUGUGAUGUGGUGGACAUCCCUAAACAAUCAAUCAUUCGAUCCAAUCAUCUCCUAUCUUCUCGCAGUCAAACUCGUCCAGCUUCAUCUCUCACUGGUCCUUUUCAUUCACAGUGUCCUGUUCGGGCUUCAGAGCCCCAGCAAACACAGUGUGUUUCUUCUCUGUUUUGAUCUUUCAGUAUUUCCUCUUCCUUCAGUCUUAUUUUCAUUUGCUCUGUUUUGAUCUUUCAGUAUUUCCUCUUCCUUCAGUCUUAUUUUCAUUUGCUCUGUUUUCUUCUCCAUUCAUCUUUUCAGUCUUUUCUUCCAAGAUUGCUCCAAGCUUGGCAAAUAUGACAGUCAGUGCCUUCAAGCAGACAUAUCACGCUGUUCUUCACCAGCAUGCAUGUUGCAUCACGUGCUUUCUUCCAUGCUGCUGGACUCAUCAGUCGUUGUCAGUGUUGCUGCUUUCGCCUGCACUGUCUUUUAGCUUCCGUUACUUCUUCACGUCCACGAUGUUCUAUCGGUCUUCAUCAGGAAAUUGACUGUCCUUUGCGUGUCUUCUCGGGGUCAAGGACAAAGUGAGAGCUCAAGCUGCACAAUUUCGAGCCAAAGACUGGCUUAUUUUCUCCCAAUUCUUUUAAUCUACUUUUCUGCUGCUGAACUCAAGGUUACAAUGUUGAGAGAGUCCACCUGUAUUGGCACACUAAAGCAUAUAAUUAGUAUCAUAUUCAUUGUUUAUCUUAAAGCCUCCCUUUUGCUUCAUCUGCCCAGAGUUAAAUCUCUCUCUCUACUCUGGGUGCACACUUGUCACCGUGAGCUUCCCUUUUAUGGGCAUGCAUUUCCUGUCCCAGACACACACACGGUUUCCUGUUUCUACAGCUUCUGCAGAGACUUCCUUUUAGUUUCACAGUCUACAAAUAAUCAGUAAUUCUACUAAAUCUUUAUCUAAAAACAAUAUGCCUUCAUUUCACUCACACACAUUUUAAUAGCGCUCUUUCACACAUCACCAUUCUUUAGGUCAGUUUUGUAGCAUCAGUCACACAAUAAUUUCUUGAGUGGGUGUACUAAGUGCAUAUACUUAUGUGUUUUUAAACAGAAAAAUAAACUCAACCUCUCAUAACAUCACUCAAAGUCAAAUAUCUUCAUAGACCCACAAGUAAGCAUAUUAUUUCCCUAGUCAAAAGUCAAACCGUUACUCACACUGUAAUUUUAAUCUCACAGGCUUUGUGUUUUGAAACUAAAAAGAGGAAGGAACAGCGCCCAAUUUAAACUGCGCAUGUUGUCACUCAACAACACACACACACAGAAAAUGUAACUGUAUAUAUUAUCUCAAACUGAAACAAAACCCAUCUAAAAAUCCUAAAACAUCUUACUUCGACACCCCAAAACACACAUCGCUUACAGACAUCUUUAUUAAUUAAAUUAUCUCAAAUUCAACUUCAGUUCUCAGAACCCAGGUAACGGUCUUAAGUAUCAACAGUUUAUGUAUCCUAUCUCAAAACCCCUCAAAAAGUCAUACAGUCAUGGCAAGAAAUAAAACUUUACUUACAUAUUGUAAUAAACAAAACCAGCGUCUUAAGUACAUGCAUCAGCAAUGUCUAGCAGUCCCUAUUAACUUCCUCAUACUCUAUUGACCUCUCAGCUGCCUUAUUUGCAUUCUCACACACACACACAAUCUAAAAAUAAUACCAGCCUGACUCACAGACUCAGACAAGUCUCUUGAUAUAUUUACACAGACGUCCUAUGAUUACAACUGCACAGAUUUGAGGCCUCUCAUUUCAAAACCUACACAAUUUAGACAAUUUUUAAAUUAACAGUCCGACCGAUAAACUCCCUGAGUUUUUUGUCAUCAAUUAAGCCAUUAUCCCGUCCCCGACGGUGGCCCGAUUGCUAGUGCCCUAACUGACUUUAAAAGCGUUAACCAACCCAAACUUUCCCUGAAGCUCUAUUUGUGGCAUCUCACAGCC